GAGAGAGAGAGAGAAUUGUAAAAAAUCGACUACGUUGAUACGGCGGCGGGCCUCUCGGCCGCGCGAUCCGGCGUUAGCGACGAGAUGAAAAACGGGCAGAUGUUCGCGCGAUCGAAACACAUUGUUUCGAUCGCACGUAGAACGAGAACAGUCCGAUAGAUCAGACGGAUAUUUCGGUCGCGGGCGGUUGUUGCCAGCCUCCGAAUACUCUCUCGAUUUCUUUCGCCAUGGCGAUGGUCAGCUGAUCGUUGCCGGUGUUCGCGAUGAUCUGCGGACAGAACGGCGUUUUUAUUAUCUGGCGAGGGACACGAGCGAGAACAGAUACCGCGUUAUCGUUGCGAAAAUAGUUUUUAAUCGCCGCUCUUCAAAAUUUUGUUUGCACGGCGUAAACGGGCUAUCGGUAAUUGGAUAACGAUAACAACGAUUCCGUACGAAUGUCGCGAUAAGGGAACUCCGAUACGUAUACAGCAGCGUGCAUAAUUAUAGGACACGAAGUAACGUCCAUAAAACAUCUGUAUUUGUGCAUUUCCAUUUUCUAUUAUUUUUAACAUAGAAAUACGCAAAUACGGUGUUCGGUUAUGUUGUUGUUUAAAUAUUGCGGAAAAUGUAGAAGUUACUUUGGGUCUAUAAUUGUUCACACCACUGUACAUGCUCGGCAUGAUCGAUUCGUUGCCGAUGUUGGAAAUAAUUACUUGAACGCCGACUGGCAGUCCUUUGCUGUUCAAUCCCAUCGGGCACUGGGUCACCGGAAGUCCUAGCACGUUGUAGAGCAUCAUGUAAGUGUAGUUCGCGACUCUGGGGUACAUCUGGUACCGGUAGUGAGCCGGGCCGAUGAACGACGGAUAGAUUAGGACGCCGUUGUCGCCUAAAACGUCCUGAGAGGUCGCGAGACUCGUCAGUAUUUUCGAAAUAUCUAAAUUAACUUCGAUCGUCGUCAAUCGGGUUUUUAAUGCCGCGUUACCUCGAAUUGCUUCUUCAGCGACACUGCCUUGUCCGCCAUUUUGUUGCGAUAGCCCUUAGGUAAUUUCCCGAAGACCCAUUUCACAAUUCCGUACGACAGGAUCGACAGAGAGUAACGCGAGACGCAGAAGAGGUACUUGAUCGCCUCCAGCAGGAUUUUGCUGGACCUCUAUAAAAAUGACGAUGUCAUUUUAUACACUUUAAUAUUAUCGUUAAUAUUUGCUAUUAAGAUAUCUUUAGUAUUAGAAUAUUUAAUAUGUAAAUAUCAAAGAUAUUUUUGACUAUCUAAUUAUUUGAAAUGUUCAACUUUAAUAUUACCGAGGCUUCGAAUUCGUCCUCGACGUCGUCCACCGUCAUGUUCAGCAGGGAACGAACAGCUAUAUCGAAUGCAUACUUCAUGUCGUUGAACUUCGCCUGCAGAAUAUAUUUGUAACAAUUAAUUGGUUCAUUUAUAUUUCAUUGUAUAUCUGCAAAUUGUAUUAACAAACCUGUUGCACCUUGACCCCAUAGGUCGCUUCCAGAUAGUUCCUCAGCUUGUCUAUGGCUUGCUUCAUGUCGCUGUUGAUGCCGCUGGUUAUGCCGCAGCAUUCUUCCAAGUAGAAGAACUUCAUAUUCUUCAAAGAUACCUAGAAGACGAAGACGACAGCGAGGCUAAGACACCGCAAGACCCUUUCGCUUCCAAAACAUGUUGUUACCGUUUGACUGAAUCGCAGACGGACAUCCUCGUCGGACACGAUGCUCAUCAUCAACGGGAGAUCCUCCGCGUAUCUGGUCAUCGUGCCGAUCGUGAAAUAAUUGUUCCAGUUCUGGUCCGACGAGAUCGGCUUGUGACCGGUGCAGCAUAUCAUGUCUGUGAUGAUGCAACAAUUGUUAUAGUUUUGGAAUUUAAAUAGCAACGUUUCUUGACACGUUAAGUGCCGAAUAUCAGCUCGGAAAAUUCAUACAAUUAAUGAAACCGAAACUAUGGAGAGUAAAAAUUUUCCAUAGGAAAUAUGGCGAUACUCACGAGCCGAGGGUUUGUGACCGAAAAUCCCGCAGCACAUAGCCGGAUAUCUAGAGGAUCCAGCGAUGUCCGAUGAGAUACUGAUGAUGGACGCCGCAGAACUCAGAAGAGCAGCCUACGACAAGAUCGAAAGGGACAGUUAACGACAAUAGACAUUUCUCUAUCCUCGGGUGCGCGAUAUUCUUGUCGAUACGGUUUAAAAAACCGGAAUAUCAUUGCUGGAAAACCGUGACUGUUAUAGCCGCUUUAUGGCCGCGCGACCGCCAUGUUGAAUGCUUCGCGACUAGCAUCGCUUCACCGGGCGUUCAGGUCACCGUCGUAAUGAACAUAAUUGCUGGUUACGAACCUCGCCACCCGAGGAACCACCGGCUGUCCUGUUGGUGUCGUAAGGGUUCCAGGUUGUUCCAGUUACUUUGUUAUUACUCUCCCAAGCCAGACACAUCUCCGGCGUGUUGCUGACGAGCAGAAUUAUGGCGCCCGCUUCGCGAACCCUGUUCACGACCACCGCGUCCUCGUCGGCUCUGUCCAAAACCUUUUUCUUCACGCCCACCGUGUGAGACAUACCUGCGAAAUUUGAAUAUUAUUAAUAUCGACGAGAUAAGCACUAUUUGCGAUCUUUGAAUUCGAAAAAUCGAACGUUUUUAAUCGAAAAGUACUUUUUGAACAUUUUAACUCUCGUCUAGCCUACGUCUCCUCGCCUCGGAUCACCCUUUACGCUCAAGGAACGAAAAUCAGUGCGAUGGAGAGACGUAUGCAAAAUUAUGAGAAAUUAUUUUAUAGUCAUAGUAUAGCGAACUUAAUCGUUCUAACGUCUAAAAACAAAACCAAGUCGUUCAGUCUUUAGUUUGAAGAAAGUUAUACCGUUUUGAAAGUAACGAAUUGUCUCUUUCGACAGGCAUGGGAAGCAUGGAGAAUACGACAAAAUUCAUGAAGAAAACACGCAAUGUAGGCCUACGAACGAAGACCGAAGAGAACUGCGAUUAUCUGACAAGGACCGCAAGAUAAUCGGGAAAAUUCGCAUUACGUUCUACGGAAUGCUGGAGUCCGGCGAGUGUCACUGGAAACUAUGAUUACGGCAUGUCAGAUCGGAAUGCAUACAAAGUUUAAUUGAAAUCGGAGAAAUAAUUUUCCGGUUCAAAGAUUAUCGCUGGGCGGUCUAGCGAAACCGCGAAGAAAGUGAUAUCGGCGCCGCAUUGUAAGCAUAUGCAUGUAAUUCUCUACAAAGUCCAUAACCCGUUGAUAACCCGUGCGUGUAUCACGAACGACGCAGUAAGGAGCGUGCGACCAAAGAUCAACCGCGCCGAAAGUUUCGUGAGCCGAUUAACGGAGGAUGAAUAAUGGCUUCCCGGCUAUGGCCGGCAAACAAAGGGAACAAAGGCGCCGGGGAAUGCGUUGCGAGAAUAUUUACGGGCGUCGAACGUGCUAAAAUGGUAGCUCGUUAGGACGGAGAAAGUUCAAACACUUCCCCGAGGAUCGGGUCGAAUUCGAGAAUCGGGAAGCGAGAAUCAUCGAUCCGAAAGUUGAGUCAACCUUUGUCGAAUAAUUUCAAUCGAAUCAUUCGUUCGAUCAAUGCUUUUCUCGGACGAAUUUUCGCGUAACACCGUAGACGUCUUUGCCUGAUUGAACUCGAAUCCCAUCGUCUACGGUGUGCCAAACCGGUUUCAAGACACUGUGUGGUCAUUCAUUUCUGUUUGCGAUUGUAACGCGUGGGAAACGCCGAGGCUUCGAAACGACGCACACUGUCCUACAUACUACGAUCAUUUUUUUCCAUUAUUCUUCAGUCCAACGACACGUGGACUGGCAGCAUUUCCAUAUGUUACCUCACCUCGCGUAAAUCACAGUUCCUCGAAGAUAAUUCGCUGGCUUUUGCGUUACAGUUCCUUCCAUACAGGCCGACUCAAUGUACAAUAUCAGUAACUUUGUUUACAGUAGCUUGAAUUAAUGAGAAAAUUAAUCGAAUGUUUAACGUAUAAAUUGGUUGAACCUUCUUAGAUGGCAUUAUUAUUUUCUUUAUGCAGUGAAUAAUUUUUUUAGUUGACGAAGGAAACUGAUAGUAGUUUCUGUAAAAUGAGUUUAGCCUAGUUGUUGCACAGAUAGUGAAAGCGUUGGGGUCAUGUCCGAUUCUCGGACGUUUUACUUCUUUGAGCCAGCCUGUAGAAUGGAACGCGAACGCGGUCACAUAAUUGUCGAUGCGGUACUCAUGGAAUUACGACGCUGUUGCAUCGAUCGCACGAACCUUGCACGGCGAUGCUCUCCUUGACCGUCAUGGGAACACCGAGAAGUGGCAUGUCCUGUCCAAUCUCUGCCUCGGUUUUCGUAGUGCACAACAAAAACUCGUCAACCUUUCGCGCCUCUUGAACCGCCGCCUCGUAUCUCGUGUCCACGAUCGCGUUUAGCAUCGGAUUCACGUCCUGGCAUCUUUUUAUGUACGCUUUGACCACUUCUUCGCUGCUGACCUGGAGGAAUUAGACGACGAAAGUAAGAGAAUUCAUUUGGAAAUGGUGCUUGAACUCGGUCCACCGGUUUUGGACCCCUCUGUUAAACAGAAUGAUUUAGAAAUAUUUUUCAACUUUGGCCAUCACUUUUGAAUCACCUUGCACUGUCAUAAUUUUGUCUAAACAUCCAGAGAAUUUCAUCAAUUACUAUGCUGUACGUAGCCUUCGGUCUGCCUAUAGAAGAAGAUUCUUUUUAAAUGAUCGCCCCAAAGCGAGAAACGAAUUUGAGAAAGCGAGGCCACGGUCUCUUAGCACAAUUUAUACCAUGCUGACCAGCAGCCCGAUUUGUAAAUAACGGGACGUGAUAUUUCGCCUAAUCGAACCUGUAUACUUCUAGAUCCCACGAGCAGAGUAGCGGCAAACCGAAGGCCCAUUCUUGCGAUUGCGUCACCGAGUCACAAGAUCAAAUUGAGACAAUAUUGUUGUACUUUGGAGCCUGCAAGUACCUGUUUUCUUCGAAUUCGCCUGGCCAGCUCGGCGGCCGGUAACAGCAGCAAAUGAUUCCUGAUCGGCGGCAGCUGUCUCUGUUUCCGGAAGCUCUGCAGCAGGAUCAGCGGCAUCACCAGACAUUCCAAUAAGAAAAGUAGAAACUUCAGGAUCUUCUGAAGCACCAGUGCGAACGUGUCCUGCGAAAAAGCCCAACCGAUCGAUAAAACGAUAUGCCUGAGUUCUCCAAUAUGGCGGGAAUAGUUCAAUCGGUAGUAUUAGACGAAUUGACAUUGCUAAAGCAAUCUAUGCGCCGGGGUCUUUGACAUGCUAAUGAGAACGGGUAGAGAAAGCUUUGGCGCUUAUUCUUUUUUCCUCAAAGUCCCGCUUAUCAAAUUAAUCGCAUGUAAACCAUGCAACAGUUGGUAUAGAGGCUUGAACGUGUUUGAAGCUGAAGCGUUUAAAAGAUGGAUGCUCAAGUGCUCAACAGAUUGAAAAUCGAAAAUGCAAGCUCGGGGGAUUAAAACUUCAUGCUCAAAUUGGAUAUUGCGGCGCUCAGAAGAUUGUUAACUAAAGCUCAAAAGCUUAAAAUAUUGAAGAUUGUAAUUCUAAAAAUUGAAGACCAAAGCUUGGAAGAUUUGAGACUGAAGCUUGGAGCUCAGAAGAUUAAACAUUGCAUCUCUGGAGAUUGAAGAUCCAUUAGAAGAUUAUUCCACAUUUGCUCGACUUCGUUAGAAGCGUAAUACUGCGUUUCGCUUCUCGAUCAAUGAUCGAUUGAUGGGAUACUUUUUGUAAAACAGUGAUCUAUUUUGUCCUUGACAAUCAGAAUGACCGGAAGGUGUACGAAUAAUUAAGGAUAAACGUUUGUAAAUGUAGGUAUCGUGAACAAAGGGCAAAUGUUUCUUUCGGACCACUCUGAACAUCGAUCGUAACUCGAUAACUCACCGAGUUAUUACCGAGAAACUUCAUGUAAAGUAUCGGCAAUAUGCAGAGUAUAUACUCCA